UACGAAGGGUGCAAGCGUUACUCGGAAUUACUGGGCGUAAAGCGUGCGUAGGCGGUGAGUUAAGUCUGAUGUGAAAUCCCCGGGCUCAACCUGGGAAUGGCAUUGGAUACUGGCUCGCUAGAGUACGGUAGAGGGUGGUGGAAUUCCCGGUGUAGCAGUGAAAUGCGUAGAGAUCGGGAGGAACAUCUGUGGCGAAGGCGGCCACCUGGACCAGUACUGAUGCUGGGGCACGAAAGCGUGGGGAGCAAACAAG
rnacentral:rRNA from 1 species